GUACUGGUACAGAGUCAAUGUGGAGGCUAUAUACAGGGGGUACCAGUACAGAGUUAAUGUGGAGGCUAUACACAGGGGAUAACAGUACAGAGUCCAUGUGUAGGCUAUAUACAGGAUGUACCAGUACAGAGUCAAUGUGGAGGCUAUAUACAGGGGGUACCAGUACAGAGUCAAUGUGGGGGCUAUAUACAGGGGGUACCAGUACAGAGUCAAUGUGGAGGUUAUAUACAGGGGGUACCAGUACAGAGUCAAUGUGGGGGCUAUAUACAGGGGUACCAGUACAGAGUCAAUGUGGGGGCUAUAUACAGGGGGUACCAGUGCAGAGUCAAUGUGGAGGCUAUAUACAAGGGGUACCAGUACAGAGUCAAUGUGGAGGCUAUAUACAGGGGUACCAUACAGAGUCAAUGUGGGGGCUAUAUACAGGGGGUACCAGUACAGAGUCAAUGUGGGGGCUAUAUACAGGGGGUACCAGUACAGAGUCAAUGUGGAGGCUAUAUACAGAGGGUACCAGUACAGAGUCAAUGUGGGGGCUAUAUACAGGGGUACCAGUACAGAGUCAAUGUGGAGGCUAUAUACAGGGGGUACCAGUACAGAGUCAAUGUGGGGGCUAUAUACAGGGGGUACCAGUACAGAGUCAAUGUGGAGGCUAUAUACAGGGGGUACCAGUACAGAGUCAAUGUGGAGGCUAUAUACAGGGGGUACCGGUACAGAGUCAAUGUGGAGGCUAUAUACAGGGGGUACCAGUACAGAGUCAAUGUGGAGGCUAUAUACAGGGGGUACCGGUACAGAGUCAAUGUGGAGGCUAUAUACAGGGGGUACCGGUACAGAGUCAAUGUGGAGGCUAUAUACAGGGGGUACCGGUACAGAGUCAAUGUGGAGGCUCUAUACAGGGUGUUACGGUACAGAGUCAAUGUGGAGGCUAUAUACAGGGGGUACCGGUACAGAGUCAAUGUGGAGGCUAUAUACAGGGGGUACCGGUACAGAGUCAAUGUGGAGGCUCUAUACAGGAGGUACCGGUACAGAGUCAAUGUGGAGACUAUAUACAGGGGGUACCGGUACAGAGUCAGUGUG
ensembl:lncRNA